CCCGGCCUCCUCAGUACCCGUGGGUAGGCUUCAGGACCAUGUGGGGCUGCCUCCACGGUGACAGGAGCCCUGGCCUCCUCAGGACUCGCGGUGAGGCUUCCAGAGGAUGUGGAGCCCCGUCCUCGCUGACAGGAGCCUGGUCUCCUCAGGACCCGCGGUGAGACUUCAGGAAGAUGUGGGGCCGCGUCCUCCCUGACAGGAGCCCCGGCCUCCUUAGGACCCACGGACCCGCUGUCUAUGACUCAGGAAGACAUGGGGCCACGUCCGCCAUGACAGGAGUCCGGCUUCCUCAGGACCCGCUGGAGGACCCUGGAGGCGCUGUUCAGAGUCACAUCCACCUCAGCAGGGCUACUCAGAACGACAAGCCACCCUAAAGGACAGCAUUGCAGACUGCCCAGCUGACCGACCCAUGAAUCCAGGAGGAAGUGAGCAUGCCUCUCCACAGGUCAAUCUAGAACUGUUUUCUGAAGGAGACUUGCUUAUUCGGGUACUGUAUGACAUUUUCCAAAUCUAUCUCCUGUCAGUGGUUAUGAUAAUAGCAGAAUUGGGGCCUCAGAGGUUUUCAAAAAACAUUUCAUUUCAAAUCUUGUUGAAUUUAUCUUUAAUUAUCAAGUCAAUUUUCUGGUUGGAUAAAGUAUUCUAUAUCUAUUCCUUCCAUUUUUCAGACAAUUCUAUAACCAAAGUGCCAUGUGGGUGAGAGUCACACAGGGCAGAGUCAGAAACCCUUGAUGUCCAUCCCUGAGAGCCAACGGCUAGUCAAAGAGCAGCCACCUCUCCCCACAAGGGUGAUGCUGCAUGUGUCCUAUCUGUUUCAGGAAGUGUGAGACUCAGGGGGAGGGAUGUAUGUGUAAAUCAUACCAUAAGCCAUCAAACACAAGAAAGGAAACAAACGUACAAAGGAAAAAUAUCUUUUGUGUAUAUGGAAAUAUUAGCAAUAUUAGCAUACCAUAUUUCAUUUUUACUAACUUUGGGCACUUGAACAUUUUCUUUCUCUGAAAUUUUCUAUCUAAAUAUGAUAUGUUGGGCAGCCUGGGUGGGCUCAGC